rnacentral:lncRNA from 1 species
GUCAAUACAUUCAAAUCAUGGGGAUUAAGACCUGCUUGAGGGGAGAGUAAUUGAGAUACUGUGCUCAAGGAAAGAAACAUGUAGAGUAGGUAAAAACAAAAGAGAUGAGUAAAAUCUCGGAGAGUUUCCCCAUUUUCCAUUUCCGUAAACCUCAUCAAGGUCAUAACCUUUAGGAAUGAUUCAUGGAUUGCUCUUUUUCCCUACUCUCCACACACAGAUAUGUGCAGAGGCAGAGCUGGGCAGCUUGAGGAAGCCUUGGAGGUUACAAGGGGGUGGAGGUCAAACCUAAAAUAAAGGUAUAUUUGUGCCAUUCCUAGCAGGCAGGACCAUCUACCUUGUUUCUCAUCCCGGUGCUCUAUUUCUUUCCUCUAUUUUACUGACUUAGAUAAAUAAAUAAAUGUAUGAAUAAUUGAACAUGUGUCUGGGACCACAUUAUUUAUUCCCUACAUAUUCCAUGUAGCCUUCCUCCUCUAAGGAGCAAAUUUUUGAAAUAUAAGAGCUAAAGAACUGAGAACUAUCAGCUCAAGAUCCCAG